UACAGAGACUGCAAGCGUUAUUCGGAUUCACUGGGCGUAAAGGGUGCGCAGGCGGCCAAGUGUGUGAGGCGUGAAAGCCUGGGGCUUAACUCCAGAAUUGCACCUCAAACUACUUGGGCUAGAGCAUUGGAGAGGGUAGCAGAAUUCAUGGGUGUAGCAGUGAAAUGCGUAGAUAUCAUGAGGAAUACCAGAGGCGAAGGCGGCUACCUGGACAAUUGCUGACGCUCAGGCACGAAAGCGUGGGGAGCAAAAGG
rnacentral:rRNA from 1 species